rnacentral:rRNA from 1 species
UACGCAGGCGGCUGGGUAAGACAGAUGUGAAAUCCCCGGGCUUAACCUGGGAACUGCAUUUGUGACUGCCCGGCUAGAGUCUGUCAGAGGGGGGUGGAAUUCCACGUGUAGCAGUGAAAUGCGUAGAGAUGUGGAGGAACACCGAUGGCGAAGGCAGCCCCCUGGGAUAAGACUGACGCUCAGGUACGAAAGCGUGGGGAGCAAACAGGAUUAGAUACCCUGGUAGUCCACGCCCUAAACGAUGUCGACUAGUUGUUGGGGAUUAACUUCCUCGGUAACGCAGCUAACGCGUGAAGUCGACCGCCUGGGGAGUACGGUCGCAAGAUUAAA